CGGGGUGUGGCGCAGUCCGGUUAGCGUGCUUGACUGGGGGUCAAGAGGUCAGGUCGGGAGUUCAAAUCUCCCCACUCCGA
rnacentral:tRNA from 1 species